rnacentral:snRNA from 1 species
GGAUGUGAGGACGAUCUGGCUGCGACAUUUGUCUCCCCACUGAUUCUGCUGAUCUGGCUGCCAAGGCGGCUUCCUCCCUCACUGCUCCAAGCAUGUCCAUCCCGUGUGUGCUCGUGUCUUCCCCAAGUGGGGAUGGGCCUCGAAUAGUUGGCGAGUAACUUUGAACCCCAGCUCAACCUAAAGACAAGCUCUCAAGAUAGUUGGAUUUGCUGCAGCAAAGGAUCUGUGCGAUUUAAGCACCCAAAAGGGCAUGUUUAAAAGAAUAUGUGCAUAAACAU